rnacentral:tRNA from 7 species
ACUUGUCUAGCUCAGUUGGUAAAAUACAAGGCUCUUAACCUUGUGGUUGUGGGUUCAAGCCCCAUGGUGGUCG